rnacentral:rRNA from 1 species
UACGUAGGUGGCAAGCGUUGUCCGGAUUUACUGGGCGUAAAGAGCGCGCAGGCGGUCAGAUAAGUCGAAUGUGAAAGCCCCCCGGCUCAACUGGGGGAGGGUCACUCGAUACUGAUCGACUCGAAGGCAGAAGAGGGAAGCGGAAUUCCCGGUGUAGUGGUGAAAUGCGUAGAUAUCGGGGAGGAACACCAGUGGCGAAGGCGGCUUUCUGGUCUGCUCUUGACGCUGAGGCGCGAAAGCUAGGGUAGCAAACGGG